rnacentral:lncRNA from 1 species
GUGACAGAGUGAGACUCCAUCUCAAACAAACAAACCACAGAAAUCUGGCUGGGUUCAGUGGUUCACACCUGUAAUCCCAGCACUUUGGGAGGCUGAGGCAGGAGAUCACUUGAGUCUAAUUCUAGGCCAGCCUGGGCAACACGGACCCCAUCUCUACAAAAAGAAAAUAUAUAUAUAUAUAUUUAUAUAUUAUAUAUUUUUAAUUAGCAGGACGUGGUGGUAUGCGCCUGUAGUCCCAGCUACUUGGGAGGCUUAGGUGGGAGAAUCGCUUGAAGCCAGGAGGUGGCGGCUACAGUGAGCUGUGAUUGCACCACUGCACUCCAGCGUGGACGACACAACAAGAUCUUGUCUGAGUAAAUAAAUAAAAUAAAAAAAAAUUCUGAUAUUACCACUCCCUUGCUUAAAAACCCUCCACUGUCCUGGAAUGAAAUCCAAACCCUUCACCAGGCCCCAUGGCCCCUGCCCACUCUGGGCCCUCAUCUUGUGCUGCCAGCGCCCCCUCCCCCACCAACCUCCUCACACAACUCCUCAGUUUCUACAAGUUUCUUCUUCCCCCAAGACCUUUGUAGCUGCUGUUGUCUCUAUCUGGAACAUUUUUUCCUCCUCUCUACUCUUCCCAUGGUCAGCUCCAACUUCAGAUCUCAGCCUACCAGCUCCUCAAAUGUCCCAGGAACCCUAAGCAGUCCCCCAAAUUCUCUGUUACAGCAUCCUGUUUGUUUUCCUUUACAGUACUUGUUGCAGACUGUUUUGUUUCCAUGUCUUUAUCAUCACUGUCUCUGUCCCUCUCCAGAAUCCACAGCUUUACUGGGGCUGGGACCUUGUCUGGCCUGUCCAACAGAGACUCUCCAUCACCCGGCACAGAGUAGGUGCUCAACAAACGGUUGUUAAAAUCAAAGGGGGGACAAGUAGAGGGGAAGUGCCUUCAAGUUCUCAAGAACUCUCCUGCAUCUAACUUCAUAAUGCCUACAGAAACAGGGAACACAUCUAAAGGUCACAGGCCCUGGGGAGGCAGGGUGCAUGGGAAAGCUCUGAAUUCUGGAGACUUCUGCCUCACUCCCACUGGGUGGAGGAGUUUCCAUUACCCAUCCCAGAGAGAGAGGGGACUCUGAGGCUGCUUCACUUACUGCUGGGUUGCAGCUGGGCUUUUUCUAGAACAGGACACUUGGUUACACUACGUUACCAGGUGUCGAUUGCCAGAGGAAAAGACUUUUGAAAAAGAAGUUCAGUUCACAGAACAUCUCCCCGGGGCAUGUGGGUGGUGUAAGGGAUUCACCCGGCUGGUGUACGGGAUUUGUCAGUUCUUUUAUACCAUCUCUUUUAAGCUUCUCACCCUUCCCUCAGAAGCAGGUAUCACUGGUUCCUUUUACAGAGAAUGAAACUGAGGCUUGGGGAAGUUAACUCGCCCAGGUGUGGUUAAGCGAUGGCUCCUCCUCCUUCUGUCUCAUUUCAGAGAUUUCCCCCUUCUGGCAAGCUCUCCUGACCACCCUCCAGGGACCCCAGACAGCAUUUGGUCCCUGGCUCUGUGUCCCCACACAGCCACCCUACCCCAUGCUGCCUUUUACUGAGGCACACAGCAUUUUAGACAGGAGAACCCUGAUGGCAGAGGCUGGGUCUCACGGGACCCUGUCUCCUUAAGGGCUUAGUCUGGGGCUGGAGCCUCUACAGAUGUUUGAGCAAAGGCGGGAGGCAAGGGAGGGAGGCCGGAAGCCACCCCAGGGACUCUGAUGUCCACCCUGCGGCAGCCUGUCUGUGGACAGAUGAUGCAGGAAGCUCACGGAACUCCCAAGCAGAAAUCAGCAGAGAUGGAGCCUGGUUAUUUUUCAGCACACAAAAGCCGAGGGCCCCUUCCUGAGAUGCCUGCCUCAGCCCGGUAGUGAAACUGAACCCACCUCAGACGGGAAAGGCUUGGCGGGCUCUGCUUGGUGGGAAGUCCACAGUGGUGCCUCGUCCCUGAGAUGAGAAUCAUCACCUCCGCUUUACAAAUGAGAUGACCAAGGGUCAGAGAGGAGAAAGGACCUCCCCCCAGCCCUGAGUCACCUGCCUGGAGACUGAGGGAGCCAUAAUGCGAAUCUUCCCCUUGCCAAACCCACUGACUCCAUUACGCUGCCUCCAGAGAACCCGAGCCCCGCGGCGAGAAAGUGGUAGAGCUGGGCCUCGAACCUGGGUCCUGGACUCUUGGUCCUGUGCUCCUUGUGGAAGAUGGAACUGCUUCUUCAGAGACAAGGUCUCAUUGUAUUGCCCGGGCUGUUCUAACUCCUGGGCUCAAGCGAUCCUCCGGCCUCAGCCUCCUAAAGUGAUGGGAUUACAGUCAUGAGUCACCAUGCUUGGCCUGGGCAGGACUUUCUCAAGUGGAACUGCCUCACACACAGACUCCCUGGAGCUGGCAGGAUGAAGCCCAUGAACCUUGGCCUGGCUUGCUAAACCCUCCCUCCCGACUCCCUCAGGAGUUCGAGUCUGCCUUCUUUCUCCGGCUGGCUCCUCAGCUUAACGCGCUUUCCUCCAGGCAGCUCUCUCGGGCUUCGCAGUGACCCUUCCUCGGUGCUCCGCGGCAGCAUGCUUCUGGCAUCUCAUCCCAACACAGUGAAGAGCAGCCAAGUGCGGCUGUGUGGCCCUGACCAAGUCAUUUCACUUCAAUUUUAUGCUUUGGCUUUCACAUCUUUCCACGGACGUGAAUGGAGAUGAUCAUGGUGCCGACCCCAAAGGAUCCUUACACGUCUUAAAAAAGUGAGCCACGGAAAGGCCUCAGCCCAGUGCCUAGCAGAGAAGCAGCACAUGGGAGGGAAGGAACGACCAGAGAAGACCCGUGGUGUGCCAGGCACUAGACCUGGGGCUCGGUGGCACAUGUCAGCUCCUUGCAAGUGUGAAACAACUGGAGUGCAGCGAGCAUCAGUAACUCACCCUAAGUCACACAUCUGGUAAACAGCAAAGCCUGGAUUUGAACCCAGGUUUUCCCAUGACAUCAGAUAAGACGGCAAUCACCACCUCCUUCUAACCCACCCUGCCUCACCUGCUCCAUCCUUACGACUUCAGGUGUCACCUCCCAGCUGGGUUUAAGGGGCUGAGUUGUCCACUCUGAUCUUCUCCAAGCACAAACUGCAAAGCAGACCAGAAAGCAGCUGGUCCUGACUCCAGGGCUACCCACAGAUGCCCCUGCACCUCCUCAUGCUCCUGUGCUCCUGUGUGAUGUCCUGGACUGUGUGAUGACCAGGCUGGGGAAGUCCCAAUCUGAAGAGACCAAGCGCUCUCUGACAAUGUGCUGAUCUAAUCACGUACAACUUAAGACAAAGUUAACCCGUCUCAUUGAAUGAUAUGGUAUAAUGGUGAUGACUGAGCUGCCCAGUAAUUGUGCUCAACCAGGAAGCAGCUCAUGGAGUCAGUUGUAAUUAGUAUUUGUGUUACACAGGUGAGUGGGUGGGUGAGGGCUGGGCAGAGGGAGGAGGAAGUGGGUGGGGCAGGAAGCUCUGGGGACUCCUUGGAUCCAUGAACCCCAUGCCAGCCAACUCAUGUGGUUGAUCCUGUCUAACCUUCAUGAUGACCUCAUGAUGUACUGUUAUCUCUCUUCUAAGGUGAGAAAACAGGCUCAGAGAAGUCCAUUCACUUGUCCAAGAUCAGACAGCUAGAAAAUGACAGAGCCAGGGUUCCCUCUUCAGCCCAGGCGAUGUCUUGGACAGCAGAAGGAACAGGAAUAGGGCUGGGAGGCUGGAGAUCCACAUCUCGGUCCCAGUUCUAACACUGCCUUACCCUGGGCCUCAGCAAGUAGCAUCCCUCUUCAGGAUACAAAGAGAUAGUAUGUCUGUCAGGUUGCAGACGGCUGAGGGUGUGGACUUGGGAGCUAGGCUCCUUGGAUUCUAAUCCUUGGGCAAGCUACUUCACCAUCUGAGCCUCAGUGUCCUCAUCUGUAAAAUGGAGAUGACAACAGUGUCUCCCUCAUAGGCUUGUGAAGAUAAAACGAGUAACAAGACUUAGAACAAUGCCUGAAUAUUAUUGUCAUUUAUGGGGAAAAAAUGAGCUUUGCUGUCCAUUUUUCAUCUGUAAAAUGGGGAAGUAGUUGCUGGAUCUGAACAGUGGUUUGCAAACAGAUUUUUUUUCAUUCCAUAGAGUCCUUUAUUUAAAAAACUAAACACAGCAACCCAAAAUACAAAAGAGAUGUAAGUGGAGCUGCCACUUAGGCACUCAAUGAGCUCAUAUCCUGACCCUGAACCCAGCUCCCUCAGGGGUUCUAAGGAAUGGAGUUUGAAAAAUCACUCAACUGUCUCUGAGAACUGGUGGCUCUAAGCUGAGAUCAGGGUCGGGUGGAAGCAGGAAACCAUGGCAUGGGCCAGGAUGCUGCUCACCCACUGGAGGCAGCACAUGGGGGCUGUGGGACACGCAGGGUUCCCUGCUGCUGGCCUGCUGGCUGCCACCAUUCCAGCUGGACAACAGUAUCCCCAGGAGGCGGCUGAGAAGCAGGGAGAAGAACACCAGGCUUGGAGUCAGGUGGGUGGCUCUGGGCAGGUCGUGUCCCUCUCUGGGGCCCAUUUUCCUCACCUCUAAGAGAGGGAUGGUAACACUGCACUCAUCAGGGGUCCUAAGGACAAAAUUGCAUCACACAUGUGAAAAGGCUUUGCAACGGAAAGACUGCCCUGAAUGACUUUUUUUUUUUUGAGACAGAGUCUUGCUCUGUUGCCCUAGCUGGAGUGUAGUAGUGCAAACUCAGCUCACUCCAACCUCCGCCUCCUGGGCUCAAGCAAUUCUCCUACCUCAGCCUCCCAAGUAGCUGGGACCACAGACAUGUUCC